CAGUCGCCGCGGUAAUACGGAGGGGGCUAGCGUUGUUCGGAAUUACUGGGCGUAAAGCGCACGUAGGCUGCUUUGUAAGUCAGAGGUGAAAGCCCGGGGCUCAACCCCGGAUGUGCCUUUGAGACUGCAGGGCUAGAACGUCGGAGAGGUGAGUGGAAUUCCGAGUGUAGAGGUGAAAUUCGUAGAUAUUCGGAAGAACACCAGUGGCGAAGGCGGCUCACUGGACGACUGUUGACGCUGAGGUGCGAAAGCGUGGGGAGCAAACAGGAUUAGAUACCCGGGUAGUCCCUGUCUCUUAUAC
rnacentral:rRNA from 1 species